rnacentral:rRNA from 1 species
GAUUAGUACUACACUGCGUGAGCGGACGAAAACAACAACACCUAAAAUGUGGAAUAUAGCAUAUAGUCGACAAGAGAAAUCUACGAAAAACAAACAAAACUUUCAACAACGGAUCUCUUGGUUCUCGCAUCGAUGAAGAGCGCAGCGAAAUGCGAUACCUAGUGUGAAUUGCAGCCAUCGUGAAUCAUCGAGUUCUUGAACGCACAUUGCGCCCCUCGGCAUUCCGGGGGGCAUGCCUGUUUGAGCGUCGUUUCCAUCUUGCGCGUGCGCAGAGUUGGGGGAGCGGAGCGGACGACGUGUAAAGAGCGUCGGAGCUGCGACUCGCCUGAAAGGGAGCGAAGCUGGCCGAGCGAACUAGACUUUUUUUCAGGGACGCUUGGCGGCCGAGAGCGAGUGUUGCGAGACAACAAAAAGCUCGACCUCAAAUCAGGUAGGAAUACCCGCUGAACUUAAGCAUAUCAA